GGUCCGAUGGUUUAGUGGUAUAAUUCUCGCUUAGGUGCGAGGGUCCCGGGUUCAAUUCCCGGUUGACCU